GGGGAUGUAGCACAGUUGGUAGUGCGCAUGCUUAGCAACGUUAAGCAUCUCUGCAUGAGGUCCUGGGUUCGAUUCCCAGCAUCUCCA